CAGCACUUUUUCUGUGCUGAACAGUCAACCGAGUGUGCAGUGCAGCCGAGUGGGUGAAAGCCUGGAUUGUGUGCAAAGCACUAGCUGGGAUGAGGAGUCAGAGGGAUCUGGAUCGGAAUCCCGGCUGUGCCCCUUCCCAGCUGAGUGACCCCUCUGCGCCUCAGUUUCUGCGUGUGUUAAACAGGAACCACGGCUCCUCCAGCAGGUGUGACUUUGACGUUUGAGGGAAGAGCUGCAGAGGAUCAGAGGCAGCUGCGGUCAUAAGCACACGGGGAAUCCACUGAUGGCAUCCGUGCUCUGCAUGAUCAUGUCCGCCAGCAGAAAGCAGAAGCCUGGCGGGAAGGGAACGGAGGGCGGGUGGAGGAGGGUUACCCGCGAGAACAGAGAAGGGUAAAGCCAGCCACCCCGAAAAACAGGACCAGGAGAAGAAGACGUCGUUUUUCCCUGCAUUCUUCACUGCGUAGCCUGUCAUGGCGAUCAGCUGCAGCAGGCCUGGGCCCCGCCCACCCGCCAGAGGAAGAAGAUGGCACUUGUGGUCCGGCCCCGCGAGUCGCCCUCCUGGCACAGAAUCGGCAGCCCCAUCACCAAGCCCACGAUGCUGCAGCCCGCCGCCAGCACCAUGCACGCCCCGGUCACCGCCAGCAUGGCUGGGGAGAGCGGGCCGCAUCAACCCCGCUGGCGCCGCUCCUGGCCACCACCCCCAUCCGCCGGCUCCGAGCUGGGAGCAGAGUCAGGGUUUGGGAUGGGGACUUGGAAGUUACAUCGUGAGCGGCGGUUAAUGUUGCAACAGGGAGGCAGGUCCCCGAGUUGGGGUUCCUGGUGGCCUGGUCACGGAGGGACAGCUGGAUCUUAGGCUGAAGUGGAAGGGCUGGGGGCGGGGGCACCGCAGGAUGUGCCCGGCUGUAGUGUCAGGAGAGGGGGCCAG